rnacentral:tRNA from 1 species
AUAUAUAUAGUAUAAAUUUUAUAUUACAUUUAAUUUCCAAUUAAAAAAUUUAUUUAAUUAUAAUAUAUAUA